UUCAGGGGAGAUGAUUGGCACUAGGGCGACCUGGGAGUGAUGCAGAGGCGCAGAUGCUCUGAGAACAGCCUGAGGUGUGUCUGCACUUGUGCAAGAGCCUGCAGGCUGGGCAGGGGCUGCAGACCCUGCCCUGGUUUGAAGGGGUGCAGAGGAGAGACAGGUGGGGUUACCCUCCAAUCAGCAGCCCACUCUCCACACAGUGCCUCCUGCCACCCUGCCAGCACCGAGCCCCUCUUCCAGCCCACCCCAGUGGGGUCCAGGCCCCUCCCUGGAGCCUCACCUUGCGGGUCACGGUGCACUGCUGAGUCAUGUCCUGGAUGAGGGCUAUGAGCUGCUGCUGAGCCCUGCAGAGACCAGCAGAGGCCCUGACCCAGCUGCCUCCUGCCAGACAGGCAGCAGAAGCCGUCCACCCUCCUGAGAAGCCCCACGGCCUCCUCCAGGGUCGUGUCCUCCAGGACUGCCUUGAACAAGGGCUCUGAGGCUUCGUAAUCAACCUGAGGGCAAGUCGAGAAGGUCAGUCUCUUUCCCCCGGGACUCUGAAUCCAGCCAGAAGACAGAAGGCGCUGAGGGCACUGAGGCGAGGCGCGGGCCAGCCCUGCCGUAGGACCACUGCCUGCACGCCUUGGUCAAAACAAAGCCACACACCAGAGCCUCUGUGGGGCCUUCACACCUCUAGUGAUGCGUGCUACACAUAGUGCUGGCCAGAGAGUCAACUGCCAACCCUUCCCCAGUCGAGAUCGGGGGUUCUUUGUGAUAAGCACUUUCCUGUCUUGAAAAAGAAAAGAAAAGAAAAGAAAGAACCUCGGUUCUAGAACAUUCAAGAGCAUUCUAGAUAGAGGUUUCUUAGCCUUGGGAUCAUUCUGUGCUGCUGCGGGCUAUACCGGGCCCUACAGGAUGCUGAGUGGCAUCCCUGGCCUUCACCUACCCGAUGCCCUGGCUCUCCACCCACAGCCUUCCCCACUGUGAAGGCCCACCCCCCAGGGCUUCCACCAUCCACUUCAUUUCUUCUCAAUAUUGUUCUAAGCUUAGGAGAGUAGAUAUUUUUACAAUAAAAAUUAAGAUGUGUUUUAACACCAUUAGAAUCUAAUUGGCCCCCUUAGGAUAUCGGGACUAUCUCCCUGAACAUCGUCAAGGGGCUCUGUUGCUUGAACUACCUCAGAGCUGAUAAUUGGGAACCUUAAGAGCAGGGUUCCCCAACCCCUGGGCCACAUACUGGUACUGGUCCAUGGUCCAUCAGGACCCGGGUCACACAGCAGGAGGGGCGUGGUGGGCAAGUGAGCAUUACGGCCUCAGCUCCACCUCCUGUCAGCUCAGCACAGCAGUAGAUUCUCAGAGGAGCAUGAGCCCUAUCGUGAACUGUGCAAGUGAGGGAUCUAGGUUUCACGCUCCUUAUGAGAAUCUAAUUCCUGAUGAUCUGUUACCGUCUCCCAUCACCCCCAGAUGGGACCGUCUAGUUGCAGGAAAACAAGCUCAG
rnacentral:lncRNA from 10 species